UACGAAGGGGGCUAGCGUUGCUCGGAAUUACUGGGCGUAAAGCGCGCGCAGGUGGUCUUUCAAGUCAGUGGUGAAAGCCCGGAGCUCAACUCCGGAAAUGCCAUUGAAACUGUGAGACUUGAGGAUGAGAGAGGUGAGUGGAAUUCCCAGUGUAGAGGUGAAAUUCGUAGAUAUUGGGAAGAACACCGGUGGCGAAGGCGGCUCACUGGCUCAUAUCUGACGCUCAGGCGCGACAGCGUGGGGAUCAAACAGG
rnacentral:rRNA from 1 species